GGUCCUUAUCCAUGGGGGCAAGCGUAUGAAGGUCGCCUGGUCCCUAUGUGUCCUUAUUGUCCCUAUAUUUUGUCUCUAUGUGUCCCUAUAUCUCUCUAUGUUUCCCUAUGGGCCCCUAUAGGUCUCUAUGUGUCCCUAUAUCUCUCUAUGGGGUCCCUAUAUCUCUCUAUGGGGUCCCUAUGUCUCUCUAUAGGGUCCCUAUAUCUCUCUAUGGGGUCCCUAUAUCUCUCUAUGGGGUCCCUAUAUCUCUCUAUGGGUCCCUAUGGGGUCCCUAUGUCUCUCUAUGGGGUCCCUAUAUCUCUCUAUGGGGUCUCUAUGGGUCGCUAUGGGUCUCUAUGGGGUCUCUAUGGGUCUCUAUGGGUCUCUAUGGGGUCUCUAUGGGUCUCUAUGUGUCCCUAUGUAUCUCUAUGGGGUCUCUAUGUGUCCCUAUGUCUCUCUAUGGGGUCUCUAUAGAUCCCUAUAUCUCUCUAUGGGGUCUCUAUGGGGUCCCUAUAGGUCUCUAUGGGUCCCUAUGUAUCUCUAUGGGGUCCCUAUAG
rnacentral:lncRNA from 1 species